ACCCGCUGAACUUAAGCAUAUCAAUAAGCGGAGGAAAAGAAACCAACAGGGAUUGCCCUAGUAACGGCGAGUGAAGCGGCAACAGCUCAAAUUUGAAAUCUGGCUCUUUUAGAGUCCGAGUUGUAAUUUGCAGAGGGCGCUUUGGCUUUGGCAGCGGUCCAAGUUCCUUGGAACAGGACGUCACAGAGGGUGAGAAUCCCGUACGUGGUCGCUGGCUAUUGCCGUGUAAAGCCCCUUCGACGAGUCGAGUUGUUUGGGAAUGCAGCUCUAAAUGGGAGGUACAUUUCUUCUAAAGCUAAAUAUUGGCCAGAGACCGAUAGCGCACAAGUAGAGUGAUCGAAAGAUGAAAAGCACUUUGGAAAGAGAGUCAAACAGCACGUGAAAUUGUUGAAAGGGAAGCGCUUGCAGCCAGACUUGUUUACAGUUGCUCAUCCGGGCUUUUGCCCGGUGCACUCUUCUGUAGGCAGGCCAGCAUCAGUUUGGGCGGUAGGAUAAAGGUCUCUGUCACGUACCUCUCUUCGGGGAGGCCUUAUAGGGGAGACGACAUACUACCAGCCUGGACUGAGGUCCGCGCAUCUGCUAGGAUGCUGGCGUAAUGGCUGU
rnacentral:rRNA from 1 species